rnacentral:rRNA from 1 species
UCGAGCGGACAGAAGGGAGCUUGCUCCCGGAUGUUAGACGGCGGACGGGUGAGUAACACGUGGGUAACCUGCCUGUAAGACUGGGAUAACUCCGGGAAACCGGAGCUAAUACCGGAUAGUUCCUUGAACCGCAUGGUUCAAGGAUGAAAGACGGUUUCGGCUGUCACUUACAGAUGGACCCGCGGCGCAUUAGCUAGUUGGUGGGGUAAUGGCUCACCAAGGCGACGAUGCGUAGCCGACCUGAGAGGGUGAUCGGCCACACUGGGACUGAGACACGGCCCAGACUCCUACGGGAGGCAGCAGUAGGGAAUCUUCCGCAAUGGACGAAAGUCUGACGGAGCAACGCCGCGUGAGUGAUGAAGGUUUUCGGAUCGUAAAGCUCUGUUGUUAGGGAAGAACAAGUGCGAGAGUAACUGCUCGCACCUUGACGGUACCUAACCAGAAAGCCACGGCUAACUACGUGCCAGCAGCCGCGGUAAUACGUAGGUGGCAAGCGUUGUCCGGAAUUAUUGGGCGUAAAGGGCUCGCAGGCGGUUUCUUAAGUCUGAUGUGAAAGCCCCCGGCUCAACCGGGGAGGGUCAUUGGAAACUGGGAAACUUGAGUGCAGAAGAGGAGAGUGGAAUUCCACGUGUAGCGGUGAAAUGCGUAGAGAUGUGGAGGAACACCAGUGGCGAAGGCGACUCUCUGGUCUGUAACUGACGCUGAGGAGCGAAAGCGUGGGGAGCGAACAGGAUUAGAUACCCUGGUAGUCCACGCCGUAAACGAUGAGUGCUAAGUGUUAGGGGGUUUCCGCCCCUUAGUGCUGCAGCUAACGCAUUAAGCACUCCGCCUGGGGAGUACGGUCGCAAGACUGAAACUCAAAGGAAUUGACGGGGGCCCGCACAAGCGGUGGAGCAUGUGGUUUAAUUCGAAGCAACGCGAAGAACCUUACCAGGUCUUGACAUCCUCUGACAACCCUAGAGAUAGGGCUUUCCCUUCGGGGACAGAGUGACAGGUGGUGCAUGGUUGUCGUCAGCUCGUGUCGUGAGAUGUUGGGUUAAGUCCCGCAACGAGCGCAACCCUUGAUCUUAGUUGCCAGCAUUCAGUUGGGCACUCUAAGGUGACUGCCGGUGACAAACCGGAGGAAGGUGGGGAUGACGUCAAAUCAUCAUGCCCCUUAUGACCUGGGCUACACACGUGCUACAAUGGACAGAACAAAGGGCUGCAAGACCGCAAGGUUUAGCCAAUCCCAUAAAUCUGUUCUCAGUUCGGAUCGCAGUCUGCAACUCGACUGCGUGAAGCUGGAAUCGCUAGUAAUCGCGGAUCAGCAUGCCGCGGUGAAUACGUUCCCGGGCCUUGUACACACCGCCCGUCACACCA